GGAUCCAGGGGCACAAGAUGAAGGCUGUGGAGGUGGAGGGCUCCCACGUAAUCCAGGAAUUCUACGACUCCAUCGACGUCCACGUCGGCCAGUCCGUUGCGGUCCUCGUCACCCUCGACCAGCCCGCCGGCGCCUACUACAUCGCCGCCUCCACCCGGUUCACAGCGUCCGCGCUGACCGCGACGGCCGUUCUUCGCUACUCCAAGUCAACCUCCCCCGUCUCCGGCCAGAUUCCCCCUCCUCCUGCUUUCCAGCUUGAGGGUUCCAUACUCCAAGCGAGGACCUUCCGGUGGAACUUGACGGCGAACGCUGCCAGGCCCAAUCCCCAGGGUUCUUACAGGUAUGGGAGCAUCCCUCGGACGAGGUCCCUCGUCCUCGCCAACACCGCUCCGGUGGUCAACGGGCGGCAGAGAUACGCAGUCAACGGGUUCACCUAUGUCAACCCCGACACCCCCCUGAAGCUCGCCGACUACUUCAACAUUCAAGGGGUCUUCACCGUGGACAACAUCCCGGCAGCGCCGCCUGCCACCGCCGCCGCCCCCAUCUUCUCCACGUCCGUCCUGAGGUUCAACCUCCGCGACUUCGUCGAGGUCGUCUUCCAGAACAACGAGAAGGAACUGCAGAGCUGGCACAUCGACGGAACCGACUUCUGGGUCGUGGCGUAAGUGGGCCCUAAUACAAUCCUCACAUCAUAAAGUUCGAUCUAUCUUAAAAAGCUAAAUAUUUAUCGUCGAUGAACCAGGUACGGCAACGGGCAG
rnacentral:lncRNA from 1 species